AGAGCCAGAUGCUGCAUAUAUGGGUGAA
rnacentral:piRNA from 1 species